AAACCAACCGGGAUUGCCUCAGUAACGGCGAGUGAAGCGGCAACAGCUCAAAUUUGAAAGCCCGCGGGCGUUGUAAUUUGCAGGCGGAUGUUUUGGGGCGGGCGCUGUCUACGUUCCUUGGAACAGGACGCCGCAGAGGGUGAGAGCCCCGUGCGAUGGCGCCUCUAACCGCGUAAAACUCCGCCGACGAGUCGAGUUGUUUGGGAAUGCAGCUCCAAGUGGGUGGUAAAUUCCAUCUAAAGCUAAAUACUGGCGAGAGACCGAUAGCGAACAAGUACAGUGAUGGAAAGAUGAAAAGCACUUUGAAAAGAGAGUGAAACAGCACGUGAAAUUGUUGAAAGGGAAGGGUAUGCGAUUAGCGGCCAGCAGGAGGUGCCUUCUCUCGUGAAAAGGCCGUGCACCGUCUUCGGACACCGUGCGCGGAGAUGGCGAGGGGGCGCCUGAGGUCUGCGAACUCGAGGUUGCUGGCGUAAUGAUUGCAUACCAC
rnacentral:rRNA from 1 species